GCAUCAUUGGUCUAAUGGUUAGGAUUGCUGCCUUCCACAGAGAGACAAUGAUACUCUCUGUAAGCAGCAGGUUCGGGUUCGAUUCCCGAAUGAUGCA